rnacentral:rRNA from 1 species
CAGAGGGUGCGAGCGUUAAUCGGAAUUACUGGGCGUAAAGCGCACGUAGGCGGCUUAGCAAGUCGGGUGUGAAAUCCCCGGGCUCAACCUGGGAACUGCAUUCGAGACUGCUUUGCUUGAGUAUGGGAGAGGGAGGCGGAAUUUCCGGUGUAGCGGUGAAAUGCGUAGAUAUCGGAAGGAACAUCAGUGGCGAAAGCGGCCUUCUGGACCAAUACUGACGCUCAUGUGCGAAAGCGUGGGGAGCAAACAGGAUUAGAUACCCUGGUAGUCCACGCCAUAAACGAUGAGAACUAGAUGUCGGGAGGGUUAGCCUCUCGGUGUCGCAGCUAACGCGUUAAGUUCUCCGCCUGGGGGGUACGGCCGCAAGGUUG